GGGAAAAUCAAGUCGCCAUGCACUGC
rnacentral:piRNA from 1 species